rnacentral:rRNA from 1 species
GGAAAUCUGGAGACAGGUGCUGCAUGGCUGUCGUCAGCUCGUGUCGUGAGAUGUUGGGUUAAGUCCCGCAACGAGCGCAACCCUUGCCUUUAGUUGCCAGCAGUUCGGCUGGGCACUCUAAAGGGACUGCCGGUGUUAAACCGGAGGAAGGUGGGGAUGACGUCAAGUCCUCAUGGCCUUUAUGACCAGGGCUACACACGUACUACAAUGGCCGAUACAAAGGGCAGCGACACUGCGAGGUGAAGCCAAUCCCGUAAAAUCGGUCUCAGUCCGGAUUGGAGUCUGCAACUCGACUCCAUGAAGUUGGAAUCGCUAGUAAUCGUGGAUCAGCAUGCCACGGUGAAUACGUUCCCGGGCCUU